AUUGAACGCUGGCGGCAGGCCUAACACAUGCAAGUCGAGCGAGCGGCGGACGGGUGAGUACUGUCUGGGAAACUGCCUGAUGGAGGGGGAUCACUACUGGAAACGGUAGCUAAUACCGCAUACCAUCAGAUGUGCCCAGAUGGUAUUAGCUAGUAGGUGGGGUAACGGCUCACCUAGGCGACGAUCCCUAGAUGGUCUGAGAGGAUGAGCAGCCACACUGGAACUGAGACACGGCCCAGACUCCUACGGGAGGCAGCAGGGGGGAAUAUGGCACAAUGGGCGAAAGCCGGAUGCAGCCAUGCCGCGUGUGUGAAGAAGGCUUUCGGGUCGUAAAGCACUGUCAGCGGGGAGGCGUUACCCGCAGAAGAAGCACCGGCUAACUCCGUGCCAGCAGCCGCGGUAAUUC
rnacentral:rRNA from 1 species